AAGUCGUAACAAGGUCUCCGUUGGUGAACCAGCGGAGGGAUCAUUACAGAGUUGAAAAACUCCCCUAAACCAUUGUGAACCUACCACUAAACAGUUGCUUCGGCGGGUGGGCGCCCCUCCCCAGGGAAGGGCGCCCCGCUAGACCGCCCGCCGGAGGUACCCGAAACUCUUGUUUAACUAAAAGGCCUCUCUGAGUACUGUACUUAAAUAAGUCAAAACUUUCAACAACGGAUCUCUUGGUUCUG
rnacentral:misc_RNA from 1 species